CCUGGACCAACGUGGUGGAUUGACCCUGUGUGAACUUCUUACAGCUCCCUGUGGGGCCUGAGGUCGAGAGGUAAACUUCCACCAGGCACAGGAGGUGAGGGGUAGGCAACAAUAUGGCUCAGUUCCCCCAUGUGGGACAGUCUAGUGGAGGUGACUCAGGACCUUGUAGGACAGAGUAAUUACGCAGUGGCCACCUUCCCCCCUAGCCUGAGACUUCUGGCAUUCUUGGCUACAGGCUACAUGUUGCUGGCCUGUUCCUGGCAUGUAGCACGGAUGAAGGAGGAGGGCCAGCGUGUGGGCAUGGGAUUCGAGGCCUGCAUCUGUACUGUUUCCUGGCUCACUUGCAGGAUGUGCCUCAUUGUUCCUGGGUCAGCAGCUCCUGGCAUCUGCUAGGGAAUCAAGAGAUCUCUUAGUAGACUGACCAUGCUUGGACAAACCGGCUGUCCUUGGAUGGACCUUCUAUCUCCAUACACACCAUCUGUGACACAGAUCUACCACCUGCCAUGUCCGGCACAGCCUGGUCCUGAUGAAGGAAACGGCAGACAUACAGAUGCAGGCAUGGGAAAGCUGGGGUCACAUGGGCUGUGAUUGCUCUGAUGGCAUGGCGCUUACUAACAUCAGCCUCAACCUCCGCAACAGGGAGGAGUUAGCAGUCUUUUUAGGAGGUCUGUGUAGGGGAGCAGACUCAGGCAAACAGCAUCGGGAGGAAAGAGCUACAACUGUUACAUUUUGCAUGCAUUGGUCAAUCGUUUGUAAACACUGAUACUUAGAUCCGAGGAAGGCUUUGGGGGUGCCUCUGAGCCUCAUUCUGAGGAAGGCUUUCCCAUUCCCACCACUCUGAGGCACUGGGUCCUUGUCAAUCAUACACAGUCACUCAGGGCUUCCUGGGCUCCCCACAACCACCCACAGCAGACUGUCCCUGUGAGAGUGUUUAUCCCUGUGGAGAUCGACUAUCCACAGACAGAGUUGGGUAGGCUGUGGGUGGGCUGGGCCCCGCAGGCUAGUCUCAUCCACUUGGUGACACUUGGCUCCUGUGGGUUAAUCUUCUAGUCACACCAGGGGAUUCGCUGACAGGCUGCCUCCCGGCAUCCUGUUUUGUUUACUUAGAGCGGCUUCACAGAACUGACUCUGAGGUGAGGAAUGCAAGCAUGUUGCUGUGCGUUCAGUGGAAGAUUAAUAGGUGAUUUGUAACUCCUGUAAUGAAAACAUCACGCAGGCCCAGCCAUGGGCUCCGUGUUGCUCAUUUUCCGGCUGCUAAUUGCCAGGGCAUACAGGUUCUGUUGUGAAACGAAGUGCUAUCUGUAAUCACAGCCACAUUUAUUAAAAUAUAAUUGCUUUUCAAAAAAAAA